UACGGGGGGGGCAAGCGUUGUUCGGAAUUACUGGGCGUAAAGGGCUCGUAGGUGGCCAACUAAGUCAGACGUGAAAUCCCUCGGCUUAACCGGGGAACUGCGUCUGAUACUGGAUGGCUUGAGUGUGGGAGAGGGAUGCGGAAUUCCAGGUGUAGCGGUGAAAUGCGUAGAUAUCGAGAGGAACACCUGCGGCGAAGGCGGGUUGCUGGGCUGACACUGACGCUGAUGCGCGAAAGCCAGGGGAGCGAACGGG
rnacentral:rRNA from 1 species